ensembl:snRNA U6 U6 spliceosomal RNA
AUAUUUAUAAACAGCACAUAUUCUAAAAUUGGAACGAUACAGAGAUUAGCAUGUCCCCUGUGCAAGGAGAACUCACAGAAGAAUUCCAUAUUUUU